GCGGAUGUGGCGGAAUUGGUAGACGCACCAGAUUUAGGUUCUGGCGCCGAGAGGCGUGGAGGUUCAAGUCCUCUCAUCCGCACCA
rnacentral:tRNA from 1 species